CGCACUCCUACGGGAGCAGCAGUGGGGAAUAUUGCACAAUGGGCGCAAGCCUGAUGCAGCCAUGCCGCGUGUAUGAAGAAGGCCUUCGGGUUGUAAAGUACUUUCAGCAGUGAGGAAGGUGGAUAUGUUAAUAGCAUAUUCAUUUGACGUUAGCUGCAGAAGAAGCACCGGCUAACUCCGUGCCAGCAGCCGCGGUAAUACGGAGGGUGCGAGCGUUAAUCGGAAUUACUGGGCGUAAAGCGCAUGCAGGUGGUUUGUUAAGUCAGAUGUGAAAGCCCGGGGCUCAACCUCGGAAUUGCAUUUGAAACUGGCAAACUAGAGUACUGUAGAGGGGGUAGAAUUUCAGGUGUAGCGGUGAAAUGCGUAGAGAUCUGAAGGAAUACCGGUGGCGAAGGCGGCCCCCUGGACAGAUACUGACACUCAGAUGCGAAAGCGUGGGGAGCAAACAGGAUUAGAUACCCUGGUAG
rnacentral:rRNA from 1 species